UACGACGAAUGCAUAUAGACAAACUUAUCAAUAAUGUCUUCAUAUAUAUAGUUCUAACAAUUCCAAAAGAAAGGAUUAACAUUCCAUUUGUAUUGUAUUAUUUACACACCCCACGGGAAGAAAAUAAAUUAAUAUCAAUUGCAAAUAAAAUGAAUUGUUGUCUAUAGUUCUGGGCAAAUGAUAAUUAGCUUGUCAACUUGAAGUCUCCAAAAUCUGCAUCUUCACUUGUAAACCGAAGACUCAAGACCUGUGAGAAGUAUGAAAUGAAUUCACUUAAAAAACUAGAAUAAUAAAUAAGAAACAUUGGGUAACCAAUUGCGAGACCUACAUUAUUUCAUAAACAAUGAAUGAUGAAAGGUAACCAACCCCCACUUCCAACCGAGAGGUUGUGAGUUCGAGUCUCCCCAAGAGCAAAAGGUNNN
rnacentral:lncRNA from 1 species